rnacentral:rRNA from 1 species
GGGCCCGCACAAGCGGUGGAGCAUGUGGUUUAAUUCGAUGAUACGCGAGGAACCUUACCAGGGCUUAAAUGUAAGUUGCAUAAAUCAGAGAUGAUUUUUUCUUCGGACUACUUACAAGGUGCUGCAUGGUUGUCGUCAGCUCGUGCCGUGAGGUGUCAGGUUAAGUCCUAUAACGAGCGCAACCCCUGUCGUUAGUUGCCAUCAAGUAAUGUUGGGUACUCUAGCGAGACUGCCGGUGCAAACCGAGAGGAAGGUGGGGAUGACGUCAAAUCAUCACGGCCCUUACGUCCUGGCUACACACGUGCUACAAUGGCCGGUACAGAGAGCAGCCACUACGCGAGUAGGAGCGAA